GAGAGGGGAGUAGGAGGAGAGCCGCGGGCCGGGGAGCGCCGCCCGUGCCCCAACUCACACAUCCGCCUGGUUCCGCUCGUACAGCGCCCGCAUCUCCUCCAGCGCCUGCCGCAUCUCCUCCGUCUGCAACAGCGGCACAGGCCCCCGCCCUCCCCGGGAAGUGCAGAUGACAGCGACAAUCAGCCCUCCCGAAGGCCACCUGGCCCUGCUGAAAAUUGGUUGUUGCCUCUCGCCGAGGGAUGGAAAUGUGGCCGAGCCUUGAUUGAAAAUUUCCGGGGAAACUGCCUUAUCUUAACUGCUUCGUAUGUAAAAAUAGACCAAGUGAAUGAAGAAUUUACAAACAUCUAUAUUUUGUGUUAGGAAUUGUGUUAAAAUUAGGAAAACAGCUGAAGACACUGGUUUAUACAACUGUGACUAUUUCAGGCAAUGAAGGUUUACAUAUCACAGUUUAACAAGAUAAAAGAUCUCCCACAAAAUACAUAGAUGACAGACAGCUCAUCUGAAUUUGACAUAACACAGCAUCAAGUACACAUGUAAUGUGAUGAACAGUGCCAGGUCAUUCCCCAGUUAGGUAACAUACAACCUCUUGAAUAAGGCAAUUCAAAUAUAACUCUUAAUUCAAAUCACAACAUACCCAGGCAGCAUGCAGGGAAAAGUCAUUUAUUUUGUAUAUUGAAAUGACACAACUUGCAACAUGUUUCCAUUUUAUGUAGUUAGAGCAACAGGAUAUAAACCAUUCAAAUAAUAUAUAUAUAUAUUUAUAUAUAUCUCAAGUCAACAGUUGUCUUUACUGGAAUAAAGAUAAUCUGUUUUUUUGGUAAAAAUAAAACUAUUUGAAUUCACUAAUUAACAAAAUGCACAGUGAUCAGAACCCCAAUUCUUCUCACCAUUGUCUUCCCUGGCUGGCUGGCUUUUCCCUGUGGCGCAGCAGCUGUGGCAGCCCGGAUCCAGAGCCCGGUGCCCACAGGGACAGAGAUUCCCUGGCACGGAGCUCCCGGGCUGCAGAGUGCCACCCAUGCCCCACGGACAGCAGUUCUCCCCUCACACCCAUCACACCCUAUGGCUUAGAAACUGCUUUUCCCACCCCCGUUCCCAACAGAACACCUACACACGUGCCUGACCUCGGGGGAGUCACAAGCUGAAUUGCUUGUGGAAACACAUUCACUGGAACAGGGCUUUUAUUUCUUCUAUUUAUUUUUUUCAACAAAUUAAUUCCUCCAGACCUUUAUGACCAAGACAUCUAAGAAACUGUGAAUCUGCUCAGAAGGGGAAAAAAAAAAUCUGAGCCAAAAAUCUCUUUGAAGUGGUGGAGCCUAACAGACGUGGCUGAGGAUUUGUUUCCACCGCAGCAGACCUGGGGAUCACAGAAGAUAAUGAAGGCUUUCCCUAGUAUUGAAAAGUUCUUUCAAAAGGGAGAAAUGAGGAAGGGAAAGAUUUUUCUCUAAUAAUAAUAAUAAAAAAGUAAUUCCUAAAAGACUAAUCUAGGCAGCUUCUCCAUGGUGAAAGGCUGUACAUCCCCCUGUUUGAACUGGAUACCUGCAGGGAUGGAUCCUCUUGCUAAAUGAUGGUGUCCCCUGGUGGCUGGGUGUCCCCUGGCCUGUCCCCGUGGGAGGAAGGGGACAGGUCUGGAUGCCAGCAGGAUUCCCUUCAGCUUCAGGGCUGCUGGCAGGUGUGUGGAGGGAACUGGACUGAAGCCCCACACAGCUCUGGGUGCGGGUUCCCCCUGUGCCACAGGGCCUGUUAAGGGCUAAUAAAUAAAUCAUACCCAUAAAUAAUGAAGAGACUAAGAUUGGAUGCAAAGGGAUCCCAAUGCCCCAGGCCUGGGGAGGGGAUUCUCAGGAGGUUUCUCUCCUUUGGGUGAGCUACACAGCAGCCACAGCAGCAGCAGCAGCCAAGGCCUUCCUGCUGGACUGCUGUCCCAGGCUUCAAACCCCAUCUGGCAGCCAGAGGAACCACAGUAGAACCCGCAUUUUCUGAGUGGUUGUUGCUGGAUCCUGCUCAUCACCUCUGUCUCGUGCCUCCCUACUACUCUAUUCACUGCUCUAGUAAAAAAAAAAUCAUUGGAGUGUUUCUUUGCCCUUAAAGAUACAAAAAACCAAACCAAAACAAAAUCUUCAAAAGAUACGGGGAGAAAGGUUUUUCACAAUGACAUUCAGAGCAGAAAGAGAGAAACGACAUCUUACAGAUCAUUAGAGAGCUAUCUUUGGCAAAAUAUUUCAAAUAAAUUAUUUUUUACAAAUAUUUUCUGCAGUCAUAUAUUUAUUUUGAAUAGUUCACUUUCACCUAUAGGGUUCACUACUCUCUAUUGAUAGGAAAACACCACAAAUAUAAAAAUAUAUGAGCUCAGCACAACUUUUAGGCUACCACGACCGUGUCCAAUAGUUUCAAAAGUUGUAGAUCGAUACCACGGAGAAUAUGAAACAGCUUUUCCUAACAGCGUGUGUCGGGUCGGGAGGUGGCAGCUGGAACACACCGGGGAGGGAGGGCCGGGCGUGGGAAGGAGCUGGAGGAGCGGGAUGCUCGGAGCCGGUCUCUGGGCUGGAUUCCCACGGGGAAUCGUCUCUCUCGGACCCCUAAGGCUUAGUUAGAGAUGUGGUGCCGGGCGCUGGCUGAGGGCGGGGGGCACCGGGCGUGGGGAGAGCUCCCCACGGCUCUGGCCGUGCCCGGCCCCGCGGGGAGUUCAGGCUCCCAAAGCCGCCCCUUCCACCUCCGUGUGGGGAAAAGCACCGAGGGAGCCGCAGCCUGGCACCGUGGCCUGGUCCUGCCCCGGGUCCCGCCCCGGAGCCCGGCGGGACCGGGACUCUGCUGGGACCCCCCAGCCCCGGUGGCCCAAGCAGGGGCCGUGCCUGGUCCCAGUGUCCCCCUGCAGCCGUGCCACCGAGCCCACCAAACGCUCAGAUUUACAUGGUUUGCUUUGUUUAUACAGCAUGUACAGAAUAUACAGCAUCGGACAGGUAAUUUCCCAGUAGACUGGAAGUGUCUCCCAAGAUGACCUCUUUUAUCAACAAAUAUAUAUAUAAAUUGACAGUAAUAAAAGAGUCGUACCAACAAAUAUUAUGGCUUUUCAAAUAGUGUAGCUGCAUUGUGCCAUUGGAUUUGUGAGGAACUGUGACAGAGACAGAGAGACUGGGGGGCUCCAGCUGCUGGGCCCGGGGGUGACCCUCAGCUUGGGGCACAAGCCGGGGCAGUGCCAGCUCAUGGCACUGAGCAGGGCAGAGGGAAGGUGGAGCUGAAUUUAUGACUCACGCUCUGGUUUCUGCCUCCAGGCAAACCAGCUCUCCUGCAAACUCUCAGCCCAGCUUUGGGAUGAUUUGGCUCUGUCCAGCCGGGCUCUGCCUGCCCUGUCCCUGCUGGGGGGACCAGGGGGCUGGUAGGGCUGUCAGAGGUUCUCUCUCUCUCUGUCAAGGUUUGCAAAAGAUGUCUGUCUGUCCUGGAGUGCCUCGUGGUGGUGAGGGGGGACACACACGGGGUGAUGGGUGACAGGAUGGCUGUGGCAGGUGGCUUUGGGUGCCUCAGGAAGGGUGGUGGCAGCUCCUCCCCGCCUGCCUGCCCCGUGCUGGGGAGGCCAUGGGAGCUCCCCUCGGGCUGCUGAGCAGGGGCACGCUGGUGGCUGGCAGAGGAGAGCAGGAAGGUGAGAAACAUCCUUUCUGGAGCACAUCCAAAAUUCCAGAGGCCGAGCUGCCUUGGCAGUGCUGUCCCCAGCCAGCCCCCUGGCAUGAGGAGACUCACCACACGCCCGCUGCCUGCCUCCCCUCAGGGGCUGCCUCCAGCCGCCAGCUGUCCCCGUCCCUUCUCAGGCCCAGAGGGCCCCUCUGAGCUCCUUCCCUGCUGCAUCCUGCUGUUCCAGGGGAUCCUGGCUGUGGGGAGUGUCCAGCAGCCUUGGCACAGGCUGCGCAGGCAGCUCCGUCCCCGAGUGUCCCUCUGCUCCUGGGAGAGACAGAGGGAGGAGCUGCUGACAGGAACUGCACCUCUGCCAAGAAAGACGUGUUUCUUUCUGAGAUGGUUACUCUAGGAGGAGGAGCAGCUGUCCAAGUGUGCAGAAAUGACUUUUGAGAACUGGAGUGGUCACUCAAGCAUCAAGAUAAUUGGGCCACUUCAUUACAGCGGAAAAUAAGUGACGGAUCUAAAUGACCCCUACCGGAGGUUUUUUGACUAAUUCCCACCUCAUUAAUCUCUCCUUUGAGAUCUUAUGGCCACUCCUUGCAGGCUGAUGCUCCCAUAGCAAGCCCGGGGAGCCCAGGUGUCCUUAGGCUGUGCCUGCAGGGUGCUGUGAGCAGCCUCUCCCGACGCGGGGAGCGAGCACCACGGGGAACUGCUGCCUUCGGGCUGGGGGAGCUUUCCCAAGGGCUGCCUGGCAGCCUGACUGCUUUUUCCUGGCAAUAUCGUGUGGGCUUGUAUUUGGGGUGGGAGGCAGAGUGUGGUCUGUCUGCUCUGUGUCCUCUUCUCGCUCGGUGAGCGGUGAUGUUCACACAUGGUGAGCACCAGGCAUGCCAGAGACCUCCCCGGACAGCCUGGAGACAGCAGGAGGGAUGAAGAUGCCCAUCACUGCUGAGUGGUCUUCAGGAAGUUCAUGAUUUGGGUUUUACAACCUCAUGCCAGGUCCUCUUGGCACACAGACCCAGGAUAGAAAGGGAUGCAUUUUACAGAACCCUGUGUUUUGUGGGGUUUGCCAGCACGGCUGUGUGUCUGCCAGCAGGCGCUGGGAAUCAUAGGAGAAUUCACCACCUUCUGCCCUUCACACAAAACUGCUGGAUUGCUGAGCAAUGUCCUCAACAGGUAGUCUUGAGAGCUGAACUGUGUGCAGAGCUGUGCCCCUUAAUGCUUAAUGCAUUGUGGAAAAAAGAAGCAGGACAAGUAUUGUCAGGGAAAAAAUAAGUAACAUUUUCUUCCUUGCUAACGCAGUGCCUGUAAUGUGAGAGGUAUUAUUGCCAUUUUUUGCUCUCUCGAGCUGCAGAAAGUAGUGUGUGUUUCCUGAUUAGGAGCAAGACAAGCAGGGCUCCUGCAAGGCUCCCUGCAUGGGCACAUUUUCCUCAAGAGCUCGCAGGAUGAAGGAGGCAGCAUGGGGCAAGCGAAUGAAGACACAAACAGGCAUGAGUUGGUUCUCACUGGAACCGCGGGAGUCCAGCCCAGGGGCAGCUCAUCACAGCUCCUGCUGCAAGGAAAGGCCAGGGCAGGGCACAGGGCUGGAGCUGAAGGCAAGGGAGCCGUGUCAGCACUACAUGAAACAAGGAGAAAUCUGUGUGUGCAACUCCCUGCAAAGCUGCUGGUUUGCAAAACCUUUCAUGAACAUUCCCAAAGCACCACUGGGAUCCAGCCUCGCCCGUGCCAGCACCACAGUUCCAAAGGGACUUGGAAAUUCUGCGUGUUCCUAAGUGUCUCUGCCAGAAUCUGACCCUUGUGUGAGCGAGGAGCCUGCCAGGGGCUGUGGGCUGGGGCACACACACACUCCUGGGGAUGGCAGUGCCACUGGACACGGCAAUUUCCAUCAGGAAGGCAGGGCAAGGCCGUGCCCCGUGCAGGUCUCAUCCUCCCAUCUGUAAAGAGACUCCUCUGAGCUGGGAGUAAUGGGGGAGAAAUAAAUCCCACCUCCACAAAGAGGUCGGGAGGGGCAGGGAGAGGGCCCUGUGGCAGCCUCCCACAUGCUGCAAGGGGUUAGGAGCUCUGCGUGUGGAUAAGCACCCCAAGCCAUUGCAACUUGCUCUACUUAAACUGCCCAUCUCGAGCAAGGGCAGGAAAGCCUUGAACCCCCAGCUAAAGCAAAUUAGUUUGCUUUAGAAGCACAGAGGCUUGGAUUGGGGGGCGGAAUUGGAGCACCUGUGGGACCAGAUAAUGGUGGAAAUUCAGCGAAAAUCUUCCACAGACUAAUGAGUGGCACAAUAAAAACUCUGCCUGUGGGCAGUGGCUGUGACUGUGCCUGGGUGGUGAGCAGGAGGGGUUUGUGUGGAAGUCUGCCUGCUCCUUGGUUUGUAGGGGCUCAGGUCCACGAUGUGGGGUGGUUCACCUGUGCCUUAGACACAGACAGCAGGGCUGAGCUAACCAGUGUGGUUGUUCAGUGCAGUGAGAAAGAAAUCUGACCCACAUGGGAAACCCCCAGCUGUGGGGCAGGAGGGAGGGACAGGGAAUGCUCCUCUGCAGGGAGCUUGGGAGAAGGUGGAACGUGAAGGGGCUUCACAGGGGAGCCAAGCAUGGAGCAAGCUGCAGGCUGGACUGUCACUGAGUGUGGACAGUGAUUUUGGGACCUUGAGAUGGCUCAAGGCAGAAUGGGGAGGACCCUGGCAUCAGGUGGGGUCACUAAUGGUGGGUCACUAAUGGUCCCUCCCAUUGCCACCUGAACUGGGGUGGGCAGGAAGCUUUCCUGGUGCAGGAGAGCAGGCCAAGGGCUGUUUGGAAUCGAAGAGAUAAAAAUUCUGCCUGGCGUUGGUGCCUGUGGGCAGCCAGAGAAGCUGGAGGCUGUGCUGUGUCUGUGCAUGCCCGUGCCCGUGGCACCAGGGCAGGGGACAUGCUGUGGCAGUGCUUCAAUAAGGUUCCCACACCUGGCUGGGGCCCCUUGGCACCCAUCCCUUGUCCAUAGCCUGGGAUGCUGGGCACCCCACUGGAACAGCCAGCUCCAGCAGGGCUCCACAGCACCUGCUCUGGGAGCACGGGGUGCCCCAGUGCCCUCUGCCACGCUUGUAGUGAGGGCAGCCCCAGGCUGGCAUUCCCUUUGGGAAAGGACAAGGAGCCAAGGGAGGGUGCAGAGCCUGCAGGAGAGGGUGGGGAACCACCCUGGGGGCACUGGGUCCCAGGGGCACCACUGGCUGCUCUCGAGAUGCUCCAGAGAGAGAGCAAGACCCUGUGGAGACUCCUUGGAUGCUCUCAGGGGCAUCCCACAGGCAGAAAAUCCCACUGGUAGCAGCAAGCUCCUGCCUGUCUUUGCUGAUAACAGCUCCUGCUUGGCCAGGCAGGCCCCUUGCCCUUGCAGUGUCCCUUCCCUCUGUGUGAGGGGUGCUGCUGGCUGGCGAGAGGUUCUUGGCACCUCCAGUUCCAGCAGCAGAAAAGCUCAAGUCCUUAAAAGGUGAGGAAUCUCACUGUAUUUACUGUCCCUCGGUGCUUUUUGCAGGAAUACGGACGCCUCUGGAUGCUUUCCUAUGCAAGUCAAGCUUUUUACAAGACAAACAGGCUUCUCACAGCGGUGCUGAGCACGUGUAGAGGCGUCAGCAGUUGGUCACUGCAUGCUCAGAGAGGUUCCUGGUGCUCUGCAAACACCUUUCUCCGGGUGGGCUCGGGUGCCAGAGCCUACAGAAAAUAAUGCAAGGCUUUCUCCUGGAAUGACACCAUCCAGCAUGAAGUUUUCCAUCACUUUCUGGCUGUGCUCAGCCCUGUCCCCCCAGGCAUGCAGCUGAACUCCCUCCUGAAUUAUGUAUACGGCCACCAACGCCGACCAUCCUCGCCCGAGAAUUUAAAAAUAGCUGUAACAAUAACACAGGGGCUCUGGUUCCCCAGUGCCUGCCCACAGCAGGAAUAAUGCAGCCAGUUCACAGCCAGGCCCCAGGGCCUCCCCUCUCCCUCUGUCCUUCCAGGAACAGAGAUGAGGGUGCACAAAUGAGCCUUGCCAUCGCUACAGAACCAGCAUCCGCCAGCUCGUGGCUUUUCCCAGCACAGGUCCCCGUGAGGCUGCAGCAAGAGCAGGAGCAGUUCUACAGGGCACACAGGAGGACAGAGCUGUUGGUGCCUUGGGGGCACACCCACGGCUCUCCCACCGGGCAGGGACGUGGCACAGGAGCAGCUCCUGGCCCUGGGAGGGUGGGCUGCCCUGCAGCUUUGUCCCUGGGUGGUUUCCUGCAUCCCCCCGGGAGUGGAGCGGGCUGUGAGCCCCGGGGCACAGCACACACCGAGCCUGAGGCACCAUGGAGAUGGAGAGGGAGGGGGGCAUGAGGUGGGGCAGGGGUGGCCGUGCCAAGGCACCGCUGCCCCUGCCAGUGGCAGAAACACUGGUGGAAGGAAACCAAUGAGCCAAGGAGAGAUGGGUACAAAAGGGGGAACAGCUGGAGGGGAGAGAAGGGUUUUCCAUAGAGAAUAUGCAGGAGCAGUACUGGAUCCAUCAGGAAUCAUUACAAACUUUAUUUCUCUGUGCAUUGUGUACCAUUGAUAAGGAUCAUCACAAUUAGUGGACUCACUGCCUAUAGUGGUGGGCAAUACACACAAAGAAAAAAAAUGAAGCCAAACAGAUGAAAAUGAAAUCAUUGUACAUAAAGGUAAUCGAACGACCUGCACCUGUGUUUGAUUUUCCCCCCAAAACAAUGAGAAACAAAAAAGAAAAACCCCCAAACAAAUCAAAAGUGAAAAAAGGCUCAAGAAGAAAAAAAAAAACAC